UGAGUACGAGCGGCUACGGCCGCGAAGUGGAUGAUGUCAAGCUUCCAAGAAAAGCCCUAUACCCGUUAAGGCAUGAUGGCCUGUACCCGAAACCGACACAGGUGGGGUGGUAGAGAAUACCGAGGGGCGCGAGGUAAUUCUCUCUAAGGAACUCGGCAAAAUGGCCCCGUAACUUCGGGAGAAGGGGUGCCACCGCGAGGUGGUCGCAGUGAAGAGGCCCAGGCGACUGUUUACCAAAAACACAGGUCUCCGCUAAGUCGCAAGACGAUGUAUGGGGGCUGACGCCUGCCCAGUGCCGGAAGGUUAAGGAAGCUGGUCAGCGCAAGCGAAGCUGGCGACUGAAGCCCCGGUGAACGGCGGCCGUAACAAUAACGGUCCUAAGGUAGCGAAAUUCCUUGUCGGGUAAGUUCCGACCCGCACGAAAGGCGUAACGAUCUGGGCGCUGUCUCGGAGAGAGGCUCGGCGAAAUAGAAUUGUCUGUGAAGAUGCGGACUACGUGCACCCGGACAGAAAGACCCUAUGAAGCUUUACUGUAGCUUGGUAUUGUGCUCGGGCUCGGAAUGCGCAGGAUAGGUGGGAGGCUUUGAUCCAUUGCUUGCGGGUGAUGGUGAGCCACUGGUGAGAUACCACUCUUUCCGAGCUAGAGUUCUAACAGCAACCCGUUAUCCGGGUGCUGGACAGUAUCAGGUGGGCAGUUUGACUGGGGCGGUCGCCUCCUAAAAGGUAACGGAGGCGCGCAAAGGUCUGCUCAGGCUGGUUGGAAAUCAGCCGACGAGUGUAAAAGCAGAAGCAGGCUUGACUGUGAGACCUACAAGUCGAACAGGGAGGAAACUCGGCUUUAGUGAUCCGACGGUUCUGCGUGGAAGGGCCGUCGCUCAACGGAUAAAAGUUACUCUAGGAUAACAGGCUGAUCUCCCCCAAGAGUUCACAUCGACGGGGAGGUUUGGCACCUCGAUGUCGGCUCAUCGCAACCUGGGGCUGAAGUCGGUCCCAAGGGUUGGGCUGUUCGCCCAUUAAAGCGGUACGCGAGCUGGGUUCAGAACGUCGUGAGACAGUUCGGUCCAUAUCCGGUGCACGCGCAGGAAUAUUGAGAGGAUUUCUCCCUAGUACGAGAGGACCGGGAGGAACGCACCUCUGGUGUGCCAGUUAUCGUGCCAACGGUAAACGCUGGGUAGCCAUGUGCGGAGUGGAUAACCGCUGAAAGCAUCUAAGUGGGAAGCCCACCUCAAGAUGAGUAUUCCCAUGGCAUAAGCCAGUAAGGUCACGGGAAGAACACCCGUUGAUAGGCUCUACGUGGAAGCGCAGUAAUGUGUGAAGCGGAGGAGUACUAAUAGACCGAGGGCUU
rnacentral:rRNA from 1 species